AUACUUAGCUGGCGUAGGGGAUACCGUGAUCAUGCAGGCGAUUCCCCCAGGGCGAGGCUGCUGCUCCAUUGCACUGCGAAGUGGUUGACCCUUGCGAUUAUUUUUAUUUUUAUCAAUAAAAAAAAUCAUAAUAAAAAAUGUAUACCCGAAUAAUUAUUUUCUUUAC
rnacentral:snRNA from 1 species